CAGUAUUACAAGUUUAGCAUUGGGAUUUUGACAUAUAUUCUGAAUUUUGUGUAUUUGAUAUCAGCCCUUAAGAGCCCUAUUUGUUAUACAUGUUCUUUCCUAGACUGGAACAAGCAUACCAAGCCUUCUAGAGGGAUCUCCUGAGGAAGCAGUGGGAGUCCACCAGCCCAAGCUGGUGUGUUUAGGGCACCCCAGGACAGUUGCUCAGUACGUCGUCAUUGCAAAGAACGACAAUGUCGCCAUCCCCCUUCAAGACGAAGAUUCGGAAACUUCAAUGGAUUGUCAUGUUUCAGACCAUCGUGAGACUGCAGCUUCCUUUGUUGCCAAAAUGUACUGUGCAUCAAAUUCCACCCUAACCGAUGUGCAAAAAAGCAUUGCUUGCACUAAAGAGCUACUGGAA
ensembl:lncRNA